rnacentral:rRNA from 1 species
AGAGUUUGAUUAUGGCUCAGGACGAACGCUGGCGGCGUGCCUAACACAUGCAAGUCGAGCGGACGGAGGGGAGCUUGCUCCCCAAAGUUAGCGGCGGACGGGUGAGUAACGCGUGAGUAACCUGCCUUUGCGAGGGGGACAACAGUUGGAAACGACUGCUAAUACCGCAUAAAGUCGAAAUAUCGCAUGGUGAAUCGACCAAAGAUUUUAUCGCGCAAAGAUGGACUCGCGUCCGAUUAGCUAGAUGGUGAGGUAACGGCUCACCAUGGCGACGAUCGGUAGCCGAACUGAGAGGUUGAUCGGCCACAUUGGGACUGAGACACGGCCCAG